rnacentral:rRNA from 1 species
AUCUGGAAUCAUACUAUUUAUGGCCGUAAUCUCAAUAGCUUUCACAAGUUAAGGAGGGUUGGGCCUAUGGUACUUGCAUGGAAGACCUGCAAGGAAAUUCCAAGUU